rnacentral:snRNA from 1 species
AUGCUCACUUUGGCAGCACAUAUACUAAAAUUUGAAUGAUACAGAGAAGAUUAGCAUGGCCCCUNCACAAGAUGACAUGCAAAUUUGUGAAGUGUUCCAUAUUUAA